UACGGGGGGGGCAAGCGUUGUUCGGAAUUACUGGGCGUAAAGGGCUCGUAGGUGGCCAACUAAGUCAGACGUGAAAUCCCUCGGCUUAACCGGGGAACUGCAUCUGAUACUGGAUGGCUUGAGAUUGGGAGAGGGAUGCGGAAUUCCAGGUGUAGCGGUGAAAUGCGUAGAUAUCUGGAGGAACACCGGUGGCGAAGGCGGCGUUCUGGACUGCAACUGACACUGAGGAACGAAAGCCAGGGGAGCAAACGGG
rnacentral:rRNA from 1 species